GAGAUGGGAGGCCUCCGAGAGGCUCUGUUGUCAGGGUGGGGUGGAGGCGGGCCAGAGGAAAGGGUAGUCUAAAAGGAGUUUGAACCAUAUGUCAUUGUGGUGUCACUGAGCACCAGGCUAGGAAUCAAGGGCACUGGGUUCUAGUCCUGCUCUGUCUCUGACUCACCCAGGAACUCUAGACUUAUUGUCUUCUCUGGGGGCCUCAGUUUCUCCCAUCUAUGCAAUGAGAUCCUUCUGGAGCCAAACUUCUAGUAGUCCUGACUAAGAAGUUCUAGGAAGCAGGGCACAGGAAUGCAGAUCUGAAGAGCAUAAUGAGGGAGCCUCUGCAGCCACCUGAUGAGACAGGGCGUAUGGUGGUCACCCGUGAAGGACCCCCUCCCCACCAGGGCUUCCCCUAUUGGAGCAGCUGCCUGUGGGGAGGGAGGGGGGAAAGCUCCGCAGGAACCAACCAUGACUGAGGAGGGCUGGCCAGGAAGACAGUAGUGCCAUUGGUGGAGAGUGCAGUGUCUGGAGGCCACCAACGUUGGGAGUGUGGAGGGGUGGGUCCACCCUCAGAGCUGAAUGAGUGGCCAUAGAGGGCCAAGAGCAUGCUGGGAGCAGGGGCCAGUGACAGGGCACGGAAUGGUCUGACCAGGUCAGCCUCUAAAUAAGGAUUCUGAGACUUUGGGAGCCCCUCAGGCUUUGGGAGCCCCCUGCCUCCCCCUCCCCACCACAGUGCUGUGGGUGCUCUAUUCCAACCUGGAGGUGACCCCCUACCACACACCAAUCUCCUGUCUUCCUCCUUGGCCCUGGGACAGACCCUUGUUGGCACCAUUCCCUGGUGGGCGCCAAGAGGACAGAGAGCAGGAAGAGGGGAGCUUUGUCCAAGCCCCCUUGGGUCAGGGCCAGGCCGAGGGGCCAGUGUGCAGCCCCCUCCCUUCGUCCUUCCCUGCCCCUUGAGGAAUGUGUCCUCUGAGGCUCACCAGCUUGGCGGUCAGCUCCAGUUCACAGAGGGGGCUGUGUCCUGCCACCCGUCCCCUCUGAAGCCCCCAUUGUCAGCCUGGGGGGGUUGGGGGCAGGCUGGGGCCAUGUCUCAAAGGCCUAAUGUUCUCAGAGGUGGGAGGGCCGAGGGGUCUCCCGGAAGGACUAGUCCACGGGACACCUGGCUCUUCUCCACCUCCCUGCCUGAAGCCUGGGCUGGCCGGAAAGAAGGCUUCCCAGGAAGUGGGACAGAUAUUGGUGCAUCCUCGGCACUUGCCUGCCUGGUGCCAAGCUGUUCCCAUUGCCUGGCAGAGAGGCUAGAGAGAAUUUUAAAAAACACAAAAACAAGCAGACAGCUAAAAUAAUACAAGCUCAUUUCAUAAAGUCCUACUGAGAGCCGGGCAUCAUGCUAUGGGUUUUAUAACCAUACAGCCCACCAUGAAGGAGAUGAGAUCAUUACCAUCAUCCCUAGGUUGCAGGUGAGGAGAAGAGGCACAGAGAGGUUGGGUACACUGUCCAAGGUUAUAAAGGCAGGAAGGGGCGGAGCCAGCCAAACCCAGGCAGCUGAGGUGCAGAGCCCAGGUCCACAAUGACUCCAAAAGCCAGGAGUGAAAGGAUGCUUCUGGGGAAGAGUAAGAUGGAUGAUGCCCAUUUAACCCCCUCAGCAGUUCCCGAGGCACCUCCAAGGACCCCACCUCUCUCCCAAUCACAGUAGAAAACACUGUUCUAAAUUUUUUCCCAGGAUCUUGCCUUCUUUGUGGUCUCCAAUUCAUAGCUUUUAGAUUUCUUUGGUCUGGGGCCUGCUUGGGGGCCAGGAACAAUGGGCUCAUCUGCCUUUACUGCAGCCCCACCUGCUUCUACCAAAGGCCCCUCCAGGCUGGGUGGAAAGCUCUAGUGCCUUUUUUUUUUUUCUUUUUUCUUUUCCUGGGGCACGAAGCCAGCACUGCUGGAGGAAAUAAAGGCCUGCAAGGAGAGCACAAGAUGUCACUGAUGGUUUCGAUAAAAGCGCCAGGACUCAUCGAAUCACGUGUAAUCCCGUUCAAAGCAAUCUUCCGAGUAGCCCCCCACCAUUUGGGGGGAGCUCCUGUUUACAGCUAGCCCCUCAGGCCUCUGGCUCUCCUGGGCAAAGGGAAAGCUUCUGGCUAUGAGGGGUGAAGCUGAGUUUAGGGGACAAGCAGGAGCCACUGGGGUCCAGCGUGGUGAGCAAGAAGGUGCCUCCUGUGUUUAGGUGGGCCAGCAUCAUUCAUCACACAACCUUGAAGCAGGCACUUACUGGGGGUGUGGUCCCAGGUUGGGGCGGCCAGGGGGGUGGCCCAAAGAUGACCAAGGGAUCUGGGACACUCACCAUUUGGUGGAAGGAAAAGACCCAUCCCAAGAAGUCCAGGGCAGCGUGGACAAUGGGUGUAGGACCUCACACAGGGCAGGUCUUCCCCAGCUAGAGGACUCCAGGACAGGGGAAGAGAGGAAGAAGUGCUGCCAUGAGGUUCGAAAGCAAGCACACUUGACAAAUUACCUCCAGUGCGUGGAGAAGCCUUACAAAAUCCAGGAUGACCUCCCAGAAGAAGCAUGCUUUGCCCUGGCUUAAAAGGAUGAAUAUGGGGAUCCCUGGGUGGCGCAGCGGUUUGGCGCCUGCCUUUGGCCCAGGGCGCGAUCCUGGGGACCCGGGAUCGAGUCCCACGUCGGGCUCCCGGUGCAUGGGGCCUGCUUCUCCCUCUGCCUAUGUCUCUGCCUCUCUCUCUCUCUCUCUCUCUCUCUCUGUGACUAUCAUAAAUAAAAAAAAAAAAAGGAUGAAUAUGAUGUGGACAGAAUUGUAGAGGGGAGAGGAUUCCAGGUGGAGGAGGCAAGCUGAUUGGUGCUAUAAUAAUUAAGAUAAAUUAAUCAGUAGGACAAACCCUAGCCCAGAAUCAUUGUCACAGGAGGGUAGGAAGAGCUCUAAAGUCAACUUUAAUUUUUUGGUGGAGCAGUUAGACCUCAGUCUGCAUCCAGUUUUGGUCAUUUACUAGCUGUGUGGCCUUGGGCAAGUGGCUUAAUCUCUCCCAGCCUCAAUUUUGUCAUCUGAAAAAUAAAGGAGGAAUAGCAGCUUCCUCCUGGGAUUAUUGGAGCAUGAAAGAAGGUAAAUUGAGAAGUGGGCACUUGGUGACUGGCCUGUGAUGGGGGCCCGGCCAGCGCCUAUUCUUGUGACAAUGGCACCAUUUCCUUAAGAGGCUCCAAAAAUGAUCAGAAAGAUUGGUUCUCAAAAAAGAGAGGCCCAAGCAAUUCUGAGUCAUGGGAAACAUCUGAGAUGUGUCUUGCCCUGCUCCUAACAGGGCUAUUGAGGAAGGAGAUGACCCUUUGUGGGUCAUGGUAGCAUGAUGUGGUCUCCAUCGAUGACUCCUGCUUAUAACUUGUUCAAAAGUCCUUCAAGGCCUUCUAAAACAAUUCUCUGCUCUUCUCCUCCUCUCUACUCCAGCACUGAAGCAGUGGUGCUCUCCUUUUCCUGGUCUCUCCUCUCACCAGACCUCAUCCCCCCCAUGGUCCCAUAGUGACCCCUCAGAGGAGGUUAGAUCAUGCCUCUUCCCACCCAAAAACCUUCCAUGGCUCCCACUGUCAGAGCAUAAACUCAACUCCUUAGUCUGCUCCCCAAAUCCAGUCCUCCACUAUCCGAUCCCCACUUCCCUACCCCGCUGCCUCUCCAGCCUCCCUUUCCACAUGCCAGACCCUCUGGUCACACUGGGUCAACCACCUCUAGGUCCUCGAACAGCCUUCGUUCAGCCCUGCCUUGGAGCCUUCUUUUACAAGCAGCCCCCCGUCAUUCCCUCCGACUGGAACAUCUUUUCUCCCUCCACUGCUGGUUGAAUCCUAGAUGCACUCCAGCUCCCAGUUCAGCUAUCUCGUCCUCCCAGGAGCCCUCCCAGACUCCAUUCCCAAGCAAGGACCAUGGCCUGCUCAGAGCUGUCUCCUAUAAGCGGGGGUGGAAUGUGGGUGAAAGCUGAGGACACAGUCUUCAGCUGCCCGAAGGACUGCUGGGGAGCAGCUCAGGGGCAGAGCUCACUGCUGGAAGAGGCUGCACCCUGCAGCCCUCCAGAGCAGAGCAGGGUGGGGCUGCAGAAACCCCCACGGAGGCUGGCACGGAUGCCAGCAGCCCGGAUAGAGCCCAGGCAGUGGUGUUGGCACAGCUCUGCUGCCGGAGAUGAGGGUGAGACAAACUGCAAUUAGCCAAGCACAGGCUGGGCUCUCAAGGCUAAUUACCAAUUAGAUGGGGCCGGGCGAUUAGCGACAUGAAAGAGACAGUCAGCAAAUAGUCACUGGCUUGGCAAAGCGGAAGGGGGUGGGGAGGUGUCUCUGUUCCUGCCAACAGGUCUGCGCUCCUAGUGGUUAGUGCAGUGCUGGUAUAGGGUGCGGGUUCCCAGCAAUGGGGGGGCUGACUGAGCCUCCUGGGCACACUGGGGCAGAUUUGGCUUCUUUUGGAUUCCCAGGAUCAUCCUCAGAGGAGGGCUCGAGGUAUCUGUUCCUUGGUUGUGUUGGAGUGAUGGGUGACGAGUGCCCUGACACCUUGGCCAGGUGAGCCCAGGAGGACCUUAGAGCAGCUAGGUGCCAGACGCCCAGUGCAUUUGUGUCUGGAGCUUUGCCUGGCACUGCCUCCGGGCUGAAGGAGGGAGGGGGUGUGCAGAGAGCCUCCUCCCUCUCAUCUCGUGGCUCCAUGUUCUUCACUCUUGGUCUCCAUCCCCCCACCUCCCAUCCCUUCCCUCUGCUCAGUUCUUCUUCCUUUCCUUCACCUCCCUCUCAUCUCCUCCAUCACCGCUGCUCACCUCUCAAGCUUUCUGUCUUUGUCUCUGGUUUUCUCUGCUUCUAGCACUUCCCUCCCUU
rnacentral:lncRNA from 1 species